ACCGUUGAGCUGCAGGAGAUACCGUAGGGCUAGGGGGCGGGAGAGGCGGACGGUACUCCGUGGGUAGGGGUAAAAUCCUCUGAUCCUCGGAAGACCACCAGUGGCGAAAGCGGUCCGCCAGAACGCGCUCGACGGUGAGGGAUGAAAGCUGGGGGAGCGAACCCGGAUUAGAUACCCGGGUAGUCCCAAGCUGUAACGAUGCGAGCUAGGUGAUAGAGUGGCUGCGUGCCAUUCUAGUGCCGCAGGGAAGCCGUUAAGCUCGCCGCCUGGGGAGUACGGUCGCAAGACUGAAACUUGAAGGAAUUGGCGGGGGAGCACCACAAGGGGUGAAGCCUGCGGUUCAAUUGGAGUCAACGCCGGGAACCUUACCGGGAGCGACAGCAGGGUGAAGGUCAAGCUGAAGACUUUACCAGACGAGCUGAGAGGAGGUGCAUGGCCGUCGCCAGCUCGUGCCGUGAGGCGUCCUGUUAAGUCAGGCAACGAGCGAGACCCCUGCCACUAAUUGCUACCACCAGUCGAAAGAGUGGCGGGGCUAGUUAGUGGGACUGCCGUCGCCAAGACGGAGGAAGGAAGGGGCCACGGCAGGUCAGUAUGCCCCGAAACUCCCGGGCCACACGCGGGCUGCAAUGGUAGGGACAAUGGGUUCCGACCUCGAAAGAGAUAGGCAAUCCCCAAACCCUACCCCAGUUGUGACUGAGGGCUGCAACCCGCCCUC
rnacentral:rRNA from 1 species